GAUGAACGCUGGCGGCGUGCCUAAUACAUGCAAGUCGAGCGAACAGACGAGGAGCUUGCUCCUCUGACGUUAGCGGCGGACGGGUGAGUAACACGUGGAUAACCUACCUAUAAGACUGGGAUAACUUCGGGAAACCGGAGCUAAUACCGUAUAAUAUAUUGAACCGCAUGGUUCAAUAGUGAAAGACGGUUUUGCUGUCACUUAUAGAUGGAUCCGCGCCUCAUUAGCUAGUUGGUAAGGUAACGGCUUACCAAGGCAACGAUGCGUAGCCGACCUGAGAGGGUGAUCGGCCACACUGGAACGGAGCCACGCUCCAGACUCCUACGGGAGGCAGCAGUAGGGAAUCUUCCGCAAUGGGCGAAAGCAUGACGGAGCAACGCCGCGUGAGUGAUGAAGGUGUUCGGAUCGUAAAACUCUGUUAUUAGGGAAGAACAAAUGUGUAAGUAACUAUGCACGUCUUGACGGUACCUAAUCAGAAAGCCACGGCUAACUACGUG
rnacentral:rRNA from 1 species